AAUUAGUUUUUCAUCUCCGAAAGAAAAAGUCUCAAUUGAUUCUUCAUUUCGUUGGCGUUUUAGCAUCAAUUACAAAAAUUGUAAAAAAAAAGCAACUUCACGCACGAAAGAAGGAAGCAGAAUCUGAACUUUGUAGUUAAUUAUCUGAUGCAUAACAAAGUAGAGAAGAGUAGUUGUUCUUCAUUUUAGACGAUCCACUCAUUGCUACCGGAAAAAGAUAAUGGUUUUGAUAUCUGAUUGAUUUCGUGUAAUAUAUUAGUAAUUAAAAAUAGUUUUUUUUUUUUUGAUUGUUUGAUUAUUUGAUUGAUGGAAAGGUUCAACUGCUUAUAAUGUUUGAUUGUCUGAUUUUUAGGGGUUUAAAUUUGUAGGUUUGGUUUUCAUUGUAAAAAAUAUAUGAGUUUACUAAGGUAUAGGGUUAUUGUUUUAUUUUUUUCUUCGUAGAUUUUUACCUUUGUUGAUUAGAGGUACUAGAUCACUGUGAUUACUUUCUUUUACUAAUUUUUUUCUUCUUUGGGUAUCAAAUAUUUUGGUGAGACAAGGUAUGGACAACUUAGCCUAUGUAAGUGCCGGUCGAGAUUUGUUUUUCCAAUUGAUAAAUCUACAGUUUUGGUUGAUCCUAUCAAGAAAAUGCUGUGCGUCACAAAAAAAGAGGAGCGCACUUUGGUAAUCCUGAAAACCUUGUCGCGCGCGGAGAUGUUGUUGCUCUGGAAGGAAUUGCUAAUCCCCUGUAAUAACUGAAUUAAGAGCUGGAAAUGAUAGAGUUGGUGUUACUGUUCCUCUCAGGACUGUUGCUUAUAUAACAAAACUAGAGGUGCUCCCUGUCAGAACACAUUGACAUCAGAAAUGGUCUGCACAUCGCAUAUUAGGUGAACCAGUAAAUGCUAUAUUGUUCCUUAUAAAUUGUUAAAUUCCCUAUACAUGGAAUGUUUUCCGUAACCCUGAGAUUGUUCGGAUGUCUUUUGGUGUCCGGAUACAUGGUUGAAAAAUCACCCCAGAUUUUUUUGUUUCUUCAAUUACAUAUUGAAAGUUUUAUGUUUUUUUCUUGCUUUGUAGAUGUUUCUGAUUAUAAUUUGUGUUAUGCUCAUCUUACACAAGAAUGGCAUCUUAUUGUGAUCAAGCAGGCAACAUAGCGCAACUACUACUAACAGUGAUUAAAGUGUUGUCUUUUUGUUUGUUUGUGUAAUUUGAUUUUGUUAAUGCGAUUAUUCAGUUGUAUUGGUUGUGAUUUUUUGUGUGGAGAAUAUCAGGACAGAGUUUAGCUUAAAGUUGUUCAAUGACCACUUAUAUUUUUAAUGGAUCAAGAAAAUGAAUCCCACUUCUGCUCCAACUCCAUAAUCAUUAGCUGUUCUAACUGUGGUUCCCGGAAGUGUUUACGAAUUAGGCAAAAAAAUCAAACACCAAAGAAUAUCGAUGGGAUAUAAAGCCGUUGUUUCAGAGGAAGGAGAUUCGAGCUUGCAUUGAUAUCUUGAUUUUCGUAUGAUAAAAUCCAAAUGGAAAAACAAACUGAUCUUUAGGUUGUAUUUAUAUAUCUUUAUAAUCAGUCCCUGGA